UAUAUAUAUAUAUAUAUAUAUAUAUAUAUAUAUAAUAUAUAUAUAUAUAUAUCGGUUAUCUUUCAGGUUCAGUUUGCUGUGGUGAAUUCUUCUUGAAUUUGUUGCAGCAAACUUGUGGUCAUGUAUGGUUUUUAGUUUUGUAAGCAUGCAUAGUUUAGAAGUUAGAAGCCUCGUUCAUGUAUUGUUCUAAACUGAAAGUUUAAGUGACUUUUCCACCCAUGGUAUUGUGGUGGUCAUAAUAGCACACCUCACAAUUAUAGAUGGCCAGAUCUACAAGCCCUGAGCGGUGUGUUUUUUAGCCCCCUCUGUUUCUCCUGGGCAUCAAUCUAUGCACAACAAGCUCUUCAGUGCUUGAUGGCAAAUAAAGGUUGCAUCUUAGAUAGUUGCUUGAUUUGAAUGAGCCAUUUUGCUGUCAGCUAAACUGUUAAAAGUCAGAUGUAAGAUUAUGUUUCUUGGCACAUGAGUUAUUUUUCAGUCAACGCGUGGCGAGUCCACUUCAAACUGAUAUAUGCACUUUUUAUUUGAAACUGAACCACCAUGGUUUAAUUUUAUUUUCAUUUGGACAAGUUACCCCAAGUAUCAUCAGUUCAUGAUGACUGGUUUGGUGUGGUGAAUUGAUCCUGGUGUUGCUUUAAGAGUUUUUUAUGACACUGUCUUGUAAGGGAGUAAGGUCUGGUAUCUAUAUGGCUAUUAUUUUAUCUCUUACAGAUUGCCAUAUAUGACAUGCUAAUUGUUUUUAGCUCUUGAUAUAGUUAAACUUUUUUUUCCGAAACGAAGGCAAAAGAUUUGCCUCAUCCAUUAUAUGGGAGGAGAAUAGAGUUAAACUUUGGAUGCACCAGUGCCUGAUGCAUAUGUUUGUUUACUUGGUUUGAACUCUGAAUGAUAUGUUGUUAUCCUGAUUGCAUGCCUGAUGAGUUGGUUCUGCUGGUAUUUUGAGAAGGCAAGCUGUGGUUUUACUCCUGGCCCUGAGAAGGGUGAACUAGGCCAUAGCGAGGGCGCCUUCAGGAACAUCAAGUCAGGGUGCCUCACUUUCUAUUUCAAUCUGCAAGGGUGAUACGUAUGAAGGAAAAGAGCCAGAGCGGCGCUUGGAUAAAAGUCAGUGCUGGAAUUUGUUUGGCAUAUGCGGAAAUCUUGGUAAAGGAUAAGGACGCACACGACGGUGAGGUUAGUAGGGGCGUAACAAACGAGAAGGGCGGGCGUGGCAAUGGCCAUUCAUGUGUCAGACGAAAAUUGUACACCCACAUGUGUGACGAGGCUGGACUUGACAUAUGCAACGAGCAUGGUGAUGAGGUGAGAGUUGGAAGCGUGGAUGUACUUGACAAGGAGCAAGUAGAUGCGAGCAAGCAUGGUGGGCAAUGUCGACGAUGUUCACGCGAAUGAGAAGACCAAAGAGGAAGGUGAUGCAUGCCUGUGCAUAUUUGUGGCGGAAUGGACAGUUUGUGGGUAAUUAGCCAGUGUCUUUGGACAAGUUGUCGACAGAUAAAAGUUCUAUAGUUUGGCUUGAGGAGUAACAUAGACAGGCAUGCUGGUGCUAUAAGGCUAUAUCUCUCUUCGUGGACAAGAGCAUACAAUGCUCAAGUUUCAUGGAAGUUUUUAAAUUCCAUUAUGAGGCUCAAUCUGAAAUAAAAUGGUGUCUUGCUUUA